UUUUUCGGGCUCACCAACGAACCUUUACAAUUGGUUUUACGGGUUCACUAAUAAACCUACACCGUUGGUUUUGCGGGCUUACCAACAAACCUUUACAAGAUGAUUAAUAAAAGAAGUAAGAAGAUUUAAGCUCCUAGAUGAGCAAAUAUAACAAUUAUAAUCUACAAAGAAGAGUUUAGAGAAUAGUUAUCACUUGAUGAGACUUCUCUCUUCUUUGUCAAGGAUGCUUCACUUUUCAAGGAUGGAUGGAGCUCUUAAUGACUCUUGGAAUCUGCUCAACCACUUUCUUUUGACUUUUGAAUGAAGCACUUGGAUGAAGAAGAUUAGGGCACUUGUCUUUCUUGUGUACUCUUUGAUAUUUUGCAAAAGGAUGUUUUCUAUGAUGAAUAGUGCCACUUUAAAUAGUUUCCUUCAUCCAUUGGACAUGCCCCAAUGGUUAGAAUUCAAAAACUAGCCGUUACUCACUGUUGGAAGGUCAAAAAGUACUUCUGCAGAACUAGCUGUUAUGCUUCUGCCCGUGCUUGGGUCGACUUAACUUUUACUGGGGUCGACCCAACUUUCACUUCGGUCGACUCAACCUUUCCUUGGGUCGACCCUCUCAGAACCACAGAACCUUGUAUUUCAGCCUUCCUUCACUUGGGUCGACUCAACAUCUUUUUGGGUCGACUCAAGGUUCAGUUGGAUCGACUCAACUUCCACUUGGGUCGACUCUCUCAGGAUUUCCAGAGAACCUAUUUUUGAAUGUCAUUGCCUUUGGGUCGACCCUCUCAGUGUUUGGGUCGACUCAAGUUUGGGUCGACUCAACUUCCUCUUGGGUCGACCCUCUCAGUGUUUCCAGAGAACUGUUUUCUUGAGGCUUGAGAGGUUUGAGGUUUGGGUCGACUCAUCCUUUUCUUGGGUCGACCCAACUAUUGUUCAUCCGUGCCAUUUUUGCAGAAGUGUGCCAGAUACUUUCUUGAUGUGCCGGGGUCGACCCAAUCAACCUUGGGGUCGACUCAAUCCACACUUUGCUGCAACUCAAGGUUAGAUUCAUCCAUAUAAACAAUGAAAUGCAUAUUUAUCUUAUUAUACGAAUUGUACUGAGAGUAACAGACUUAUAAAUGAUGUAUCGAAUUAACUUGUAACAUACUCUUGAUUAUUGUAUUAAUCAUCAAAAUACCACUAUCAUCCUCAAU
rnacentral:lncRNA from 1 species